UACGUAGGGGGCUAGAGUUGUCCGGAUUUACUGGGCGUAAAGGGCGCGUAGGCGGCCAGCACAAGUCAGUUGUGAAAUCUCCGGGCUUAACUCGGAAAGGUCAACUGAUACUGUGCGGCUAGAGUGCAGAAGGGGCAACUGGAAUUCUCGGUGUAGCGGUGAGAUGCGUAGAUAUCGAGAGGAACACCUGCGGCGAAGGCGGGUUGCUGGGCUGACACUGACGCUGAUGCGCGAAAGCCAGGGGAGCGAACGGG
rnacentral:rRNA from 1 species